AUUGAACGCUGGCGGCAUGCCUUACACAUGCAAGUCGAACGGCAGCACGGGUGCUUGCACCUGGUGGCGAGUGGCGAACGGGUGAGUAAUACAUCGGAACAUGUCCUGUAGUGGGGGAUAGCCCGGCGAAAGCCGGAUUAAUACCGCCUACGAUCUACGGAUGAAAGCGGGGGACCUUCGGGCCUCGCGCUAUAGGGUUGGCCGAUGGCUGAUUAGCUAGUUGGUGGGGUAAAGGCCUACCAAGGCGACGAUCAGUAGCUGGUCUGAGAGGACGACCAGCCACACUGGGACUGAGACACGGCCCAGACUCCUACGGGAGGCAGCAGUGGGGAAUUUUGGACAAUGGGCGAAAGCCUGAUCCAGCAAUGCCGCGUGUGUGAAGAAGGCCUUCGGGUUGUAAAGCACUUUUGUCCGGAAAGAAAUCCUUGGCCCUAAUACGGUCGGGGGAUGACGGUACCGGAAGAAUAAGCACCGGCUAACUACGUG
rnacentral:rRNA from 1 species